rnacentral:rRNA from 1 species
AGAAUGACUCUCGGCAACGGAUAUCUAGGCUCUUGCAUCGAUGAAGAACGUAGCGAAAUGCGAUACUUGGUGUGAAUUGCAGAAUCCCGUGAACCAUCGAGUCUUUGAAUGCAAGUUGCGCCCGAAGCCAUUAGGCCAAGGGCACGUCUGCCUGGGUGUCACAG